rnacentral:rRNA from 1 species
AAUUAUGCUAUUAGAUGAGCCUAUAUUAGAUUAGCUAGUUGGUGGAGUAAUAGCCUACCAAGGCAAUGAUCUAUAGCUGAUCUGAGAGGAUGAUCAGCCACACUGGAACUGAGAUACGGUCCAGACUCCUACGGGAGGCAGCAGUGGGGAAUAUUGGACAAUGGGCGAAAGCCUGAUCCAGCCAUGCCGCAUGAGUGAAGAAGGCCUUUGGGUUGUAAAGCUCUUUUAGUGAGGAAGAUAAUGACGGUACUCACAGAAGAAGUCCUGGCUAACUCCGUGCCAGCAGCCGCGGUAAUACGGAGAGGGCUAGCGUUAUUCGGAAUUACUGGGCGUAAAGGGCGCGUAGGCUGAUUAAUAAGUUAAAAGUGAAAUCCCGAGGCUUAACCUUGGAAUUGCUUUUAAAACUAUUAAUCUAGAGAUUGAAAGAGGAUAGAGGAAUUCCUGAUGUAGAGGUAAAAUUCGUAAAUAUUAGGAGGAACACCAGUGGCGAAGGCGUCUAUCUGGUUCAAAUCUGACGCUGAAGCGCGAAGGCGUGGGGAGCAAACAGGAUUAGAUACCCUGGUAGUCCACGCUGUAAACGAUGAAUGUUAAAUAUGGGAAGUUUAC